UUCGCAAUGCCCGAAAGGGUGACGAAGCGACGCCGCGUGGGUGAAGAAGGCCUUCGGGUUGUAAAGCCCUGUCAGGAGUUAUGAAAUGUAGGUGCGAUAAUACCGUGCCUGUUUGACAAAGGCUCCAAAGGAAGCCACGGCUAACUCUGUGCCAGCAGCCGCGGUAAUACAGAGGUGGCAAGCGUUGUUCAGAAUUAUUGGGCGUAAAGAGCACGUAGGUGGAUUUGUAAGUCAGGUGUGAAAGCCUUCUGUUCAACGGAAGAAUUGCAUCUGAAACUACAAACCUUGAGUGUAGGAGGGGAGAAUGGAACUUCUGGUGGAGCGGUGAAAUGCGUAGAUAUCAGAAGGAACGCCGGCGGCGAAAGCGAUUCUCUGGCCUAUUACUGACACUGAGUGUGCGAAAGUUAGGGGAGCAAACGGGACUAGAUACCCCGGUAGUCCUAGCCGUAAACGAUGGGCACUAAGUAGAGGGGUUUU
rnacentral:rRNA from 1 species